rnacentral:rRNA from 1 species
CCUACGGGAGGCAGCAGUGGGGAAUAUUGCACAAUGGGCGGAAGCCUGAUGCAGCGACGCCACGUGAGGGAUGACGGCCUUCGGUUGUAAACCUCUUUCAGCAGGGACGAAGCGUAAGUGACGGUACCUGCAGAAGAAGCACCGGCUAACUACGUGCCAGCAGCCGCGGU